GACGAACGCUGGCGGCGUGCUUAACACAUGCAAGUCGAACGGAAAGGCCCUGCUUUUGUGGGGUGCUCGAGUGGCGAACGGGUGAGUAACACGUGAGUAACCUGCCCUUGACUUUGGGAUAACUCCAGGAAACUGGGGCUAAUACCGGAUAGGAGCUCCUGCUGCAUGGUGGGGGUUGGAAAGUUUCGGCGGUUGGGGAUGGACUCGCGGCUUAUCAGCUUGUUGGUGGGGUAGUGGCUUACCAAGGCUUUGACGGGUAGCCGGCCUGAGAGGGUGACCGGCCACAUUGGGACUGAGAUACGGCCCGGACUCCUACGGGAGGCAGCAGUGGGGAAUAUUGCACAAUGGGCUGAAGCCUGAUGCAGCAACGCCGCGUGCGGGAUGACGGCCUUCGGGUUGUAAACCGCUUUCGCCUGUGACGAAGCGUGAGUGACGGUAAUGGGUAAAGAAGCACCGGCUAACUACGUG
rnacentral:rRNA from 1 species